AGCGACUCGUUUAGGUCUUGGGUUUCUGGUCGAAUCGAUCCUCUUUUGUGAGUUCUUAUAGAGAUAUUAGGUUUAUUUGUUUCGGUAGAAAAUAAUUUGCAGCUUUUACGAUUGCAUGGUUAUAUCAAUGUUUUGAUGCCAUAUUUCUUGGAAUUCUGCUGUGUUGAAUGAGGUCUUAAGCAAGACACAGAUUUUUUUUGUGUUUUUCUCCGAACUAUGUUCUUCGCUGGUUUGAAACUUUUUUGUUGAAUUAAAUAUUUAAUUAUUAUAAUUACAAAUAAUUUGAUCUUUAAAAAUUUCGAGGUAUGAUUAUCCAUUAUUUUACAUUCAUGGGAAUUCCUACAAUAUUAAUUUGAAGUUUCAGAAAAAACUGUUUCUCUUUUAUUUGGAAGAAAAUAACAUGCCAUAUUGGAAUUCUCUCGUGGUGAAUGAUUUAUUGGUGAUUGGGUGGUGUUUACUUUUUAGACGAAGAUUUUCUGUGUUUUUCUCAAGAUUUUGUUCUUUACUGGUUUGGAACUUUUUGUUGAAUUAAAUAUAUGAUUGAUAAUCCAUAGAUACUCUCUAUCUGUUUCACACUCCACUUAUAUAUUUAAUUUCUAGCAACCUAAUUCACCAUACAAUUAGGGUUAGGACCAUACAAGUAGGGAUUUGUUGGAAAGAUACUUAUUUUGGAUGAUCUCAGAACAACACACAAAAUGCAAUGCAUGCAAAUACCUAGGAGGCACCCCCCUAAUUUUAUCAAGUGAUUAUAUGUCUUUAAUCUUACACGAAGUCACCUUUUUUAAAUCCUUCGUUCCUAGGUUUUUGUAGGUUGUGCGUUGCUGAUUAAAUUACCUACUUAUCUGCAAAUUGACUUAUUUGCACUGGAUGAAAGUCCAUCAGUCUAUGUAUUCCGAAAUAAUCAAUAAAAGCUCAAUAUUAACACCCAAUUCUCCCUACACAGCCCAUCAAAAAAAGAGUUUUCUGAAGUUGCAAUAGAAUUUCAGAGCUGAUUUUCAUCUUAGAUUCUUAGAUUCUUGAGAUGUGGUAACUCCAGGAAACAACUAGAAAAUGCGAUUUUAAUAGACACAAGGACAAUAAAAAAGCAUAAACACCAAUCAUGAAUUGUCAACAUAGAUUCUGUUUCUUCAAAUUAGCAAGAAUUCCUCCGCAUCCCGAGAUCCUUUAUGAUUUAGAACCCUCUUUCCUCCAUUUCGCAAGAUUUUAAUUGGAUUAAAUACCAAUUGUUCUCUGCAAGUAAGUUGACUGUAUUAACUCGAUUUCUUAAAAUUUGUUUCAACAAUAGUACAUUGAACAUAUUUCGACCUUGUUUUCUAUUUUUUGUAACUUCUAGAAUAACAUAGCUGCAGCGAAUAGUAGCAUCAUAAGUCAGCUAUUGAAUUUAACUCCAUGACUAACAUCACAAUAACUUUUCCUUUACCUAGUCUUCUACUUCUAGUUCUUUGGUGUACUUUUGUCUCCAAAGAGAGAUACAUUAAGAACAUUGGCUAUAUGAGAAAAACUUGAACUCCUAAUUCUGUAAACAUUUAUCAAAUAUUUUUCAUCGAUGGACUCCCCCGGGCCCUCAUCCUCCUCCUCCCACGGGACACACAUGCACGCAGUUGCUUGCCACACAAAAUACAAUGCACAAAAAUACAUAAGAGGCACUCAAAUCCCAUCAUUGAUUAAAUCCUCGUUUGUCUAUUAGUUCUCAGUUUCUCUUCAGUGCAGGACACAGCAGUUUGGUAGCUCGCAAGGCUCAUAACCUUGAGGUCACGGUUUCAAAUCCUGUAUCGGCAAAAUUCUUUUUAUGCUUGGUUUUUGUUUUUUCGCCAGUGUGAAUGAGUUCCUUUUGCUGGUUGGUCAAUACUUUUUUGCUUGUUUGCAGUCUAUUACUUGAAGAUGGACUUGGUGAAAGUUAAAGAGCCUUUUAAAUAGCUGGACUUCUUACUUGUUUUGUUGGAAUGUAUCCUGCGAUUAGUUGAGAAUAAAAGAGAGAAUCUAAUUUGCAGUUUUAGUUUUUUGUUCUUCUUGAUUUUUGCUGGAACUAUCUUUUUGGUGCUUACAUACACUUGCUAUUUUACUUGUUUGUAGUCGCUUUUCUUCGAUCUGACCUUAAGAAUGAUUUCAAGUACGGUCUUUUGGAAGAGCUAAGAGAAUCUCUACCUGGUUGUACUGCAGGAAAUGAUCAAUCUUUUGCUCUUUAAUUGUUAUAAGCAUGGCGAGAAUGAUAUAUAGCUGUUGUUGUUAUAGAACCUUCUGCUUGAUAGUUUGUGUUAGGAUAUUGAGUGAGUGGCAUAUUUUACCCAAAACCUGAAUUGCAAUGUGUCAAAGUGCCUGGAGUUGUUUGUGAACAUAUAUUCUUUUUUGGAUAUAGCUAUUACUGUUGCUUGUAACUACAUCUUGUAGGGGUUCCAGGACAGUUCUGGAUGGUUCAAUAAUUCUAUAUACUGUUAGUAAUGAUGCAUUAGGUUUUAACUGUCAACUUUGAGCUCUCUUUAGGAUUAACUAAAGAUGCUGUUCAGGAAUGCAGUGCUUCUCCUUGGAUGAGACUGAUUGGACAUCAGUUGAUCCCUUCUGAUACGUAGAGAUCCCUCUGCUUUUGAUAUGGUGAGAUGCAGCAGCUACCUGCAACCUGCUGCAGCAACUGUUUACUUGUUACCUCUGGCUUACAUUUGUGCUAUUUUGGGAAAACCUUUGUUGAGUUGGGCCAUAUUGUAACGAUACAGGAUGUAGGAACACAUUAGAGAGGUUUAUUAUUUGACUCUUUCUCCACCUACAAGCUAUAUGUUCUUUCCUUUCCAGCUUCUUUCUAAGCAAAAUUAUUCAGUGUUGAUGGAUGUACGCAAAACCUUGGUAUCUUGUGUUUUUAUAUUACCUACCUUACACUUCACUUCCAAUUCUCUCUUCUUUUUUUUUGUAUUAUCUUCCUUACCAAUGAUUUUUAUAUCUGCUACUCGCAAAUUUAGGGUAUCAUAUAUUUACGUUUUAGCAUGUAUGAAUGAGUUUCUUUUGCUGGUUGCUCGUUCUUUUUUGCUUGUUUGCAGUCACUUGAAGAUGGACUUCGUGAACGUUACAGAACCUUUUACAUGGCUGGACUUCUUACUUGUUAUUGGACUGUACAUCUGUGAUUAGUUGAAAACAGAAGAGUAUCUCAUUCUCUGUUUUUGUUUUUAGUUCUUUGAUUUUGCAUGACCUCUCUUUUUGGUGUUUUUACAGACACUUGUUAUUUUGCUUGUUUAUAGUUGAUUUUGAGAGUGGUCUUUUGGAAGAGCUGAGAGAACCUUUUGGUUAGACUGCAGGAAAUGAUCAAUGUUUCUGUAAGUUUGUAUUCGAAUAUUGAGUCAUUGGCAUAUCUUACCCAAUACCCGAGUUUUAAUUUAUUAAAGUGCCUCGAGUUGUUUACGGACAUUUUUUGAAGAAAUGGCAGACAAAAAAUGAUAUGAUUAUGUGGAAUAUUUGCAUCCUCAAUCGCACAAUUAGGUAUCAGGUAAAUGGACUUUAGUUAAUACCUUAGUUUGACCUUUGAUCUUUGUUUGGCUCAUAAACUGUUUUGAUUCUAAACUUUUUAAGUUUUAGAUUUUUUUCAAAAGCUUGGAAAUUAUUCUUUGAUUGAUCCAGAGAGCUUGUGGCUGGCAGGCAUUCGAUUGGUCUUGGUUUGUACUAAUUUACGUUUAGAUAGUUGUGUAGUAUAUUUGGUAUUAUUUCACCAUCUUUCCAAUUUUUACUGCUGUGUUUAAUCUUCCUUCAUCAAUAUUUCUAUUUUCCAUCCGCCAUUUGUUCAGGAAAUUUGCGGAUCUUUCUUACUUGAAAUAUAGGUGAGGAUUAGAAUUCCUUUGCAAUUCAUUAUAAAUGGGUUAUUCUAUUUGUACAGAUAUAGUGGAGAGGUGCAUUAAAUCCUUUUUUAUCUUUUAGUUCUCAGUUCGUCUUUAACGCGGGGCAGAGCAGUUUGGUAGCUCGCAAGGCUCAUAACCUUGAGGUCAUGGGUUCAAAUCCGGUCUCCGAUGCAUAAUUUUUAUGCUUGGUUUUUUAAUAUUUUUUUUUUACCAUAUAUGAAUGCGUUUCUUUUGCUUGUUGCUCGUUACUUUUCUGUUUGCUUGCAGUCACUUGAAUAUGGACAUAGUGAAAGCUAAAGAACCUUUUUUGUGGCUGGACUUCUUACAUGUUCUUGGAAUGUACAUCCUGUGAUUAGUUGAAAUCAAAAGAGUAUCUAAUUCUCUGUUUUUGUUAUUUGUUCUGUCGGCUUGGAUUUUGCUUGGCCUCUCGUUUUGGUGUUUACGGACACUUGUUAUUUUGGUUGUUUUUAGUUGAUUUUGAGAGCGGUCUUUUGGAAAAGGUAAGAGAAACUUUGCCUGGUUAAACUGCAGGAAAUGAUCAAAUGUUUCUGUAAGUUUGUACUACGAUAUUGAGUCAUUGGCAUAUCUUACCCAAAACCUGAGUUGUAAUGUAUCAAAGUGCGUUGAGUUUAUGGACAUUUUUUUUGAAGAUAUGACGGACAAAAAAGGAGAAGAUCAUUGUGGAAUAUUUGCAUCCUCAAUCGCACAAUUAGGUAUCAGGUAAUAUUUAGUUCAGAGUUAGAAUUCAUUGAUUGCAUGGUUGAUAGAUGGAAUGCCUGCGUGACUUCUGGAUCUCAAUGAAUGCCAGUAAUGCUCGAUAUGUGUCAUAGUGCAGUCUGGACCUUGUGGUAGGCAGCAUUCGAUUCGUCAUGGUUUGUGCUUAUUUAGGUUUUGAAAGUUGUGUAACAGUAUAUUUGGUAUUAUUUCACCUUCUUCCCAAUUUUUACCGCCAUGUUAUUCUUCCUUCAUCUAUAUUUCUCUUUUCCACUAUUUGUUCAGAAAAUUUGAGGAUCUUUCUUGCUUGAAAUAUUAGGUGAGGAUUACUAUUCCCUUACAAUUCAUUAUAAAUGGGUUAAUCUAUUUGUGCUUAUAUUUUGUAUUAUUUCACCAUCAUCCCAAUUUUUGCCGCUGUGUUUAUUCUUCCUUCAUCUAUAUUUCUCUUUUCCACCAUUUGUUCUUAAAAUUCAUGGAUCUUUCUUACACUGAAUAUUAGGUGAGGAUUGCUAUUUGAUAUAGUGGGGGAGCAUAUUAAAUCCUUGUUUGUCUAUUAGUUCUCGGUUCUUGUCUUCAGCGUGGGGCAGAGCAGUUUGGUAGCUCACAAGGCUCCUAACCUUGACGUCAUGGGUUCAAAUCCCGUCUCCGUAGCUUUAUUUUUAUUCUUGGUUUUUUAUUUUUUAUUUAUUUUUAACGUGUGUGAAUAAGUUUGUUAUGCUGGUUUUCCGUUACUUUUUUGCUUGUUUGCAGUCACUUGAAGUUUGGCUUGGUGAAAGUUAAAAGAGUCUUUUGUGUGGCUAGACUUCUUCCUUGUCUUUGGACUGUCCAUCCUGUGAUUAGUUGAAAACAGAAAAUAGUAUCUAAUUCUUUGUUUUUGUUUUUUGUUCUUUUUUUUUUUUCGCUUGACCUCUCUCUUUGGUGUUUAUAAAUGCUUGUUAUUUUGCAUUAUUUGUAGUUAAUUUUGAGAGCGGUCUAUUGGAAGAGCUUAAGAGAACCUUUACCUGGUUAGACUGCAGGAAGUGAUCGAUGUUUCUGUAAGUUUGUUUUAGCAUAUUAAGUCAUUUGCAUACCUUACUCAAAACCUGAGUUGUAAUGUAUCAAAGUGCUUUGAGUUGUUUAUGGACAUUUUUUUUGAAGACAUGGCAGACAAAAAAUUGAGAUCAUAAUGGUGGAAUAUUUGCAUUCUCAAUCGCACAAUUAUGUAUCAGGUAAAUGGACUUCAGUAAAAGCCUUAGUUUGACCUUUGAUAUUGGUUUGGCUCUUGAACUAUUUUGGUCUUAAACUUAAAGUUUUAGAUUUAUAUUAUUUUCGAAAGCUUGGAAGUUAUGUGUUGUUCGAUCCAGAGCUUUGAUCGAAUGAUCAACAGAUUGAAUUUGUUUCUGUUGAUAUUUUGGUCAAAGUUAGAAUGUGUUGAUUGCACGGUGGAUAGGAGGGUGAAUUCCUUUUAGACUUCUCUUAGGCUUCGGAUCAAUCGUACUUGUCAAACCUACGUAUUCGGUGCCUGUAUAAUAGUAUUGGCGUCUUUUUAUGUAGAAUCUCAUAGAAGGCCGGGAAAUGUCAUGGUGCAAUUGGUACCUUGUGGUAGGUAGAUUUCGAUUCGUCUUGGAUUGUCCUUGUAUUUGGUAUUAUUUCAUCAUCCUCCCAAUUUUUACCGCUGUGUUUAUUCUUCCUUCAUCUAUAUUUCUCUUUUCCACAAUUUGUUCUGAAAAUACAUUGAUCUUUCUUACACUGAAUCUCUUUUCCACAAUUUGUUCUGAAAAUACAUUGAUCUUUCUUACACUGAAUAUAAGGUGAGGAUUGCUAUUCCUUUACAAUUCAUUACAAAUGGCUUCUUAUUCUAUUUGUUCAGAUAUAGUGGGGGAGCAUAUUAAAUCCUUGUUUAUCUAUUAGUUCUCAGUUCUUGUCUUCAGCGUGUGGCAGAGCUGUUUGGCAACCUUGACAUCAUGGGUUCAAAUCCUGUAUCCACAGCUUUCUUUUUAUUCUUUGUGUGUUUUUUUAACAUGUGUGAAUAAGUUUGUUAUGCUGGUUCUCCGUUGCCUUUUUGCUUGUUUGCUGUCACUUGAAGAUUGGCUUGGUGAAAGUUAAAGAGCCUUUUGCGAGCUAGACUUCUUCUUUGCCUUUGGACUGUACAUCCUGUGAUUAGUUGAAAACAGAAGAUGGUAUCGAAUUCUAUGUUUUUUUUUUUUGCCUGACCUCUCUCUUUGGUGCUUACAAAUGCUUGUUAUUUUGCUUUAUUUGUAGUUGAUUUUGAGAGCGGUCUAUUGGAAGAGCUAAGAGAAUCUUUACCUGGUUAGACUGCGGGAAAUGAUCGAUGUUUCUGUAAGUUUUUUUUAGGAUAUUGAGUCAUUUGCAUAUCUUACCCAAAACCUGAGUUGUAAUGUAUCAAAGAGAGUUGAGUUGUUUAUGGACAUUUUUUUGAAGACAUGGCAGACAAAAAAUUGAGAUCAUAAUGGUGGAAUAUUUGCAUUCUCAAUCGCACAAUUAUCUAUCAGGUAAAUGGACUUCAGUAAAAACCUUAGUUUGACCUUUGAUCUUGGUGUGGCUCUUAAACUAUUUUGGUCCUAAACUGUUUAAGUUUUAGAUUUAUAUUAUUUUUGAAAGCUUGGAAGUUGUGUGUUGUUCGAUCCAGAGAGCUUUGAUGGAAUGAUCAACCCGAUUGAAUUGGUUUCUGUUGAUAUUUAGGUCAAAGUCAGAAUGCGUCGAUUGCAUGGUGGAUAGGGUGAAUUCCUUUUAGACUUCUUGUAGUCUUUGAUCAAUCGUACUUGUCAAACCUACGUAUUCGGUGCCUGUAUAAUAGUAUUUGCGUGUUAAUAUGUAGAAUCUCAAAGAAGGGUUCGGGAAAUGUCAUAGUGCAAUCGGGACCUUGUGGUAGCAUUCGAUUCGUCGUGGAUAGUUAGUCAAUCCUUCUUUCAUGACACCUUGGAGGUGCCUUGUGUCGGAUUACACUAACGGUUUGGAAGUUGAAACGGAAAUGUUUCGGAUGUGGGGAGCGACAUUUGCAUGACAUUGCACUCCAUUAACAUAUAUGAUGUGUAUAUGUUUGGAUGACAUUCGUUAUAUACUUGUCAUUAUGGUUGUUGACAUGCACUCCUUAUGGUAUGACCCCGUCCCUUUUUGUCUAUUCUUUACGUGGAUUCACGGGGUUACAAGAAGUGUGUCUUAGAGACUUCCUACUGAGCUUAUGCUUACCCCAUUAUUUCAACAUUUUUCAAGUUCGGGGAAAGAAGUGGCAGACGACAACCCACGACAAUUCUAAACUGGAUUGGAACUUUUGUUUGUAUCUUUUGUAAUGAUGAGAUGAAAUUUGUACAAUGUUGCACAUGUAGAAAUUGUGGAAGCAAAUGGAACACGUGGAAUGUAAAUUUUAUGAACUUUGUUAUCUUGUAAGAGACUAUGCAAAAUUAUUUGUAAUUAUGUUGUUAACGAACUUAAGUAAAGGUUGUAAUCUGUAUUCUAUGAUUUCUUA